UGUAUAUAACUUAAGGUGGAUUAAGUCGAUAAGAGAAAUCAGUUUUUGAGAAGGAUAUGUCAAUCUGGAUGUGUCAUCAUUUUCUUGAAAUUGAACAAAUAGGUGUUAUGUUUCUACUCCAUGUGAAUAUCAUUUCUACUCAAGAAACAGAAAAGUGUUUGGAGCAAAUUCAAUAAUUGGUGACAUUUUUAGUCGGACUUAGAUGACAGACAAAAUUUUUGUAAGGAUGGAUUCAAUGGAAAUUAAAAAAAAUAAUGUCUGGGCAAUUCCUAAUAUACAAACUAGUGAAUAAAGGAUAUUAUUUGCAUGAAUAUCUUAGAUGAAGACAAGGAAAAGGAAAUACUUGAUAUUUUUCCAGUGAAGGUUCAAGAAUUAAAACUGAAUUGUAAAAAAAAAGUUAAAUUGAGAACAGUGAUACAGAUAUGUCCAAAAUCGGAUUAAACCUAUAAUUAUAGCCUGGAAAAUGAUAAUACAACAAGAUCACCUAAACAUUAUUAGAAAACACUUAGGUAUGUCAUAAUUGAAAUUUACCUGUCUCCUGCUCUAUGUAGUUGCACGAUGAUUCGAUGUUGGCACGUUUGUAAAAUAAUUUAUCAACCCAGAACUCAAAAAAACUACAAAAAGCUAUAAAUUUACUUAAAAACUUUAAAUUGGGAGAUAAUCAUGAGGCUUGGCUUGUUUUCCACCACUUUUCCACCCAAAGAAAACUUAAAAAAGACAAUCGUCAAAUACGACAGUUAAAAUGUCAUUAACGUCACUCUAUUUAGUGUGAUUUUCCUUUACAAACUUAUUUAGAACAAUCAUCCGUAAUGGGAUUCACCUGUUUAAUUCGUGGUUUUGGAAACACUAGUGAUUCUGUGAAGAUGCAUUGUUUGCCAAAGGACCCCAAGACCAAAAGAAUUUGGAAAUUAAGGCGUCAGGUCUUCCCAUUCGCAGACCAGCUACCAUUUAGAUUCUGUUAAGUCUUUAUGUCUCCAAGAAGAAAGUGAAUUUGUUAUUCAGGAAAAUGAUGCAAGCUUGUCACCUGAUCAAAGUCAAGCCAUAAAUAAUAUUGAGGACUUUAGAAUAAUUUCUACUCAUGCGUACAUCGCAGGAUAUCUUGCCAGAGUAAUUAAAAAAACUAUUGGCAAUUGUCCCACUUGCAUUAAUCAGUUACAAGCUAUAUCAAGUUUCAAAUUUCUCUUCAUAGCCGCAUUUCUAUUAGUCAUUUAACAAUAUUAGUGAAAACCGCACCUCAUUACCUUAAAAAAUAACGAAGUUAUUUAGGAAUUGAAAAUUUAUCGGCUAGCCUAAUCUAUCGAGGAACUGUAUUCAUUUGCCACCACUCCAAAUUUCAAAAUUACCAAUUUGCUUGUCAGCUCCCCAAAUUAUAGGUCUGGGUAUAAUACGUCUUGGUUUUUUAAUUUUUUGGUAUUGUUACUGUCGUAUUACUUUAAUUUUAGUGUGUUUUUUACUGACAAAAUCCAAUAUCUUAAAAAUACAACUUAGAUGGUAAAUAAUUUAGUUGUAUUGGAAUUAUUACAUAAAUUGCACGAAACAUAUUUCAUACAAUAUUAUGUGUUUGUAUUAUAGUUUUUAGUAAUGUAUUUUGGUAAAUAAAGGAUUCGUUUUUUUCUAUAA
rnacentral:lncRNA from 1 species